GACGAACGCUGGCGGCGUGCUUAACACAUGCAAGUCGAACGGACAGGCCCUGCUUUUGUGGGGUGCUCGAGUGGCGAACGGGUGAGUAACACGUGAGUAACCUGCCCUUGACUUUGGGAUAACUUCAGGAAACUGGGGCUAAUACCGGAUAGGAGCUCCUGCUGCAUGGUGGGGGUUGGAAAGUUUCGGCGGUUGGGGAUGGACUCGCGGCUUAUCAGCUUGUUGGUGGGGUAGUGGCUUACCAAGGCUUUGACGGGUAGCCGGCCUGAGAGGGUGACCGGCCACAUUGGGACGGAGAUACGGCCCAGACUCCUACGGGAGGCAGCAGUGGGGAAUAGUACACAAUGGGCGGAAGCCUGAUGCAGCAACGCCGCGUGCGGGAUGACGGCCUUCGGGUUGUAAACCGCUUUCGCCUGUGACGAAGCGUGAGUGACGGUAAUGGGUAAAGAAGCACCGGCUAACUACGUG
rnacentral:rRNA from 1 species